rnacentral:rRNA from 1 species
CAGUCGCCACGGGAAUACAGAGGAUGCAAGCGUUAUCCGGAAUGAUUGGGCGUAAAGCGUCUGUAGGUGGCUUUUCAAGUCCGCCGUCAAGUCCCAGGGCUCAACCCUGGACAGGCGGUGGAAACUACCAAGCUGGAGUACGGUAGGGGCAGAGGGAAUUUCCGGUGUAGCGGUGAAAUGCGUAGAUAUAUGGAGGAACACCGGUGGCGAAAGCGGCUCUCUGGUCUGUCACUGACGCUGAGGCUCGAAAGCGUGGGUAGCGAACAGGAUUAGAUACCCCCGUAGUCCCUGUCUCUUAUAC